AGAAGACUGUGCAUGCUUCUAAUAAAAAUUUGGAACCAAAAGAAGUUUAAAAAGCCGAAAGUGACUAAGUGCUGCUAUCCCAUGCCCCAAAGAGUUCAAGACUUCAGCAGAAAAAAAAAUCACCUCAUUAAAGGAAAAUUGUGCCUUAUCCCCACUACUCGAAGAUGCAACCAUCUGCCUGGUCACAGCCACUUUUUUCCUUUUUUUCUCACUCCAUCGUAUGUGUGUGUGGUGGGGCAGGGGAUAAGGGGAAUAAUCUCUCUCCAGUAUAAGAAGGUAAUGAUUCAAAGAUUUAAAUGCUAAACUUCUGGGACUUCGGGACUUACUAUAAAACUAGAUAAGAUCAACAACAACAAAAACAAUGCUUUCUAUUGAAAUUUGUACAGUUUUGCAAGUUCAUUUCUGCUCUUCGUCUGUUGAAGCAUCAAUAAAGUCCAAGAAAAAUACUGGGAAUCAGAUUCAUGCCCAAAGUGACCCUGUGGCAGUUGAGGAUUGACUGGGCUAGAAGACCAAAGUUUAAAGCGCAAGUUAAUCUGAGACAGAGAAAUGAAAGAGAAGAUGAGAAAGAAAAGUGGCCUCAAAAUAAGAGGAACUAGGGUCCUGGCUCAGAGGCUCAUGCCUGUAAUUCCAUCACUUUGGGAGGCCGAGGUGGGCAGAUCACCCGAGGUCAGGAGUUCCAGACCAGCCUGGCCAACAUGGUGAAACCCCGUAUCUACUAAAAAUACAAAAAUUAGCUGGGCAUGGGGGCGCCUUAAUCCCAGCUACUUGGGAGUCAGAGACAGGAGAAUCAUUUGAAUCUGGAGGUGGAAGUUGCAGUGAGCCAAGAUCCCAGCCAUUGCACUCAAGCCUGGGGGACAAGAGCAAGACUUAUCUCAAAAAAAAAAAAAAAAAAGGAACUAGGACACAAGCAAGAACAGAAGUAGGAUAUGCAAAUGCUUUCUUUGAAAGCUGGGGGCAGGUGAAUGGCUUUCCUGUACUGCUAUAAAGGUACAAAAUGGAGGCAGGCACUCUUUAGAGAGGUUUAGUUUGAAAAUAAGAUUUUCAAACUUUACCCCCAAUGAAGUACAACUAGCCUUAAAUUCCACCCCACCCACCACCUCCACAAAAAAAGAAAAAAUAAAAAGAAAAUAUCUAUCAAAAAGCAUUAGUCAUGGAAAGGACUUAAUCUUGAAAAUGAAAGCAACAAAGUUGUUAAAUGUAGACAGACACUAAGCUGCUUACAACAAUAUUUGCUUACAUUAUAGCAUCUAAUAUAAGAUGUUAUUUGCUCAUUGUUUAUUAUGUACUCCAUGCUCUCACAAGAAGCUUAGCUUUGAUUUUUUUCUUAAUUUUGGUGGCUUAAAUUUGAAAAUUUAACUUUGCAUUAAAGGAGGGUUUUUAUUUAAUUAAAGAAUGUAUUCUGGAGCUUGAUUACAAAUUAAAAUCCAACAUUUGCUUAACGUGGAUGGGUUUACAAUUAUAGGAAAAACUUUUUGCACUUCAUGAUUUAGUGGCUGUUUAACUUUGUACUCAAUAUAGUAAUUAAUAUAUGUUGCUGCAUUUAAUUUUCUGUUUAAUUUUUUAAAAUAAAAAGGUAAAGGAUGUUUGCUGCUUUUAAGGAGAUUUACCUGCAUAACUUCAUUACUCUGCGUGAUCGUAUAAUGGCCCCAUCUGAGUUAUCCACCAAACUGAUGUUUAUACCUACAAUGUCAUCUGUUCUCUUUCAAAACUAAUUGUGUCACACCAUUGGUGUUGGUUUAUAUUAUACUUAUUUGAUAGGCCUAGAUUUAUUAAAUAUCUUUUAUGACACUUGGGCUAAGUUAUGCUUAUAUAGAAAUGUAAUAUAC
rnacentral:lncRNA from 10 species